rnacentral:lncRNA from 1 species
GUUUAACUGUUCUUCAAUUGUUUAAAAUAGUUCAAUUUGUUUUUUUACUGAAUUUGUGAUAAUCAUUUGUUGGGUUGUUUGGAUUGUUGAUAUAACUGGGAGUUUAAAGUCAGUUAGUUAAUUGGAGACUGGAUAAACCUUAGUUAAGUUCACCUAAGAUAACGGAAUUUGGAAAGUUAAGAUAGUAAUUGCAGAAUAAAGUUCAGGGGCAUUCUGGGUAAUUGACAUUGACCUUGAAAGUUGUAGGUUAGAGUAGAAGGCCCGAGAAUCUUCUAGAAUAGGGUCAAGUGUAGGGUUUUAGUAAAUGUAAGGCAUUAACUUGUUUUGCAAGCCAGAAAUAAGAGGACCAAAAUGAAAUAAAUGAGGGACUAAUAUUGCAAACUGAAAAUCUGAGGGUUGCCUCAUCUUUGCCUAUAUAAAGUAGCCCCAAUUCCUUAAUUCACAAGUUUGGGUAGCCUAAAAUUUCCCCUCACAAGGUAUUCUCCAGACUUCCAGAUCUGGAAUUAAUAUUUCAGGUCUGAAAUUCCUUUAAAGCUCAACUUCUUCAAAAAGAAAAAUCAAAAACAACAAAAGCUUCAAAAAUAAAAAUAAUGUACCGCAAUAGUCAUUUUUAGGCAAAAUUGUUCAAUUCCAGUCUCAUCUAUUUGUUGAGUUUUAUUGAAGUUUAUUAGUUGGUUUUUUGAGUGGCUUUGGGUCCAUGCAAAUUGAUUUUUACUUGAACUAGUGAAUUUGAUUGGUUUUGAAACAUUUAUGGACCAUCUGGUUGUGAUUUCGAGCUAUUAUGAGUUUGUUCAAGUAGUAUUGGAUUGAGUUGCUAGUUUUCUGUUGACUUGUUGAAUAAUUUCUGGAUUUUGAACCUUUUCCUUGGCUGUUGGUUAUUCCAUAACUGUUGGAAAUUGUUUAUUGCUACUACUGUGAUGCGACUGACCUCAUUUGCUUCUAUUUGUGUCGAUUUCUAGGUACUUUUUGGUUUCCUUUGGUAUUGAUGGACUGAAUCUGUAUGUUGGUCGAUUGAAGAAUAAAAUCCAAGUCUUGUUAACUUAAUGUUGAAUCUGUGCAAUAUCGUUCAAACUGGGAUUUUAGUUGUGUAGCAGUAACAAUAGAGAAUUGGAUAAUUGAAACACUUUUAUAAUUUGUAGUAAGUGAACUGCAGUGGACUAUUGAUUUGAAGUUGUACUCAGUUGUUCUGGAAGUUCUUCAUUAGGAUGUAAUAGUUGAUGCUUGAACAUUUACGAGAAUUCAUCUGGGUUAGUAGUUAGUACUUGAUUUUCAAAAUAAACUGGACGGUAAUAUUGUCAGUAUAUGAAUGCCAAGUUUGUUAGGUUAAGUGGAGUUGAAAAUUAAGUUGAAUUGAGGGUUCAUUCUCACAUUGGGGUUUGGGUAAAAUGGUGACAAUAUUAUUAGUUUUUGAUUGUAAUUUAGUGACUAAAUAUGUAAUGGUUAAUGUGUUUUGGAUUUUGGGCUAGGAUCAAUUCAUUAUUAAAUAUUGGGGCUGUGGGGGUUUGGAUACAGCAAUUCUGUGCACGCGCACAUUGGAAAACGUAGGCUUCCAUUUGGAACUUUGGAGCACCCUUGCGCAGGCUCAAUAUCUAUUUUGUCCUUAAUGUAAAUGGGGCUGGUUUAUAAGCCUGGUUCAUUGCCCAGUUUAAAAUUCAAUUCAAGGUUUACAUAAAAUUUAGGUUUUGAGUUAGGUAGCGGGUUCACUCCCUUUUGUUUGGACCCGGAUGCGAACUUGAAGCCCAAAUUUUAGUAUUAAUUAAUUAAUUAGGUUUUUCUUUUAUUUUAAAGACAAAAAUAAAAAUAGAAAAUAUAGUCGCUCUUAGCCUUACCCUUUAAUAUAAAAAUGAGACAAGCCUCGGCCGAUGAAAUGGAAAAUUGAGGGGUCCUCAAUAAAGGUUUUAAAAAUAAUUAGAAAAUCAGGAAGGAUCAUUAGUGAAUUUCACGACCCUCCCAAAAUAUAAUAACGCGUUAGACUCUUUAGACGCGAUUUUAAUAAAUUUACGUUCCGAAACUCAGGUGUGCAUUUCAUGCGACCAAAAAUAAAUCCCAAAACGUGGAAUAUAGUGUGUUUAGGAUUGCGGGUGCAUUUCAUGUGACGCAAUGCAAAGGCACGCUUUAAACGACGUUCACCUUCCUUUCUU